GACGAACGCUGGCGGCGUGCUUAACACAUGCAAGUCGAGCGGUAAGGCCCUUUCGGGGUACACGAGCGGCGAACGGGUGAGUAACACGUGGGUGACCUGCCCUCAGCUCUGGGAUAAGCCUGGGAAACUGGGUCUAAUACCGGAUAUGACUCCAUGACGCAUGUUGUGGGGUGGAAAGCCUUGUGCGGCUGAGGAUGGGCCCGCGGCCUAUCAGCUUUGUUGGGUGGGGGAUGGCCUACCAAGGCGACAACGGGUAGCCGGCCUGAGAGGGCGACCGGCCACACUGGGACUGAGACACGGCCC
rnacentral:rRNA from 1 species